UUGGGGGNAACCACUGAUCAGAUUCGGCUGAGAGCUGUGACGUUACUGACAGAAGAAGCACCGGCUAACUCCGUGCCAGCAGCCGCGGUAAUACGGAGGGUGCGAGCGUUAAUCGGAAUUACUGGGCGUAAAGCGUACGCAGGCGGUUUGUUAAGCGAGAUGUGAAAGCCCCGGGCUCAACCUGGGAACUGCAUUUCGAACUGGCAAACUAGAGUGUGAUAGAGGGUGGUAGAAUUUCAGGUGUAGCGGUGAAAUGCGUAGAGAUCUGAAGGAAUACCGAUGGCGAAGGCAGCCACCUGGGUCAACACUGACGCUCAUGUACGAAAGCGUGGGGAGCAAACGGGAUUAGAUACCCCGGUAGUCCACGCCGUAAACGAUGUCUACUAGAAGCUCGGAGCCUCGGUUCUGUUUUUCAAAGCUAACGCAUUAAGUAGACCGCCUGGGGAGUACGGCCGCAAGGUUAAAACUCAAAUGAAUUGACGGGGGCCCGCACAAGCGGUGGAGCAUGUGGUUUAAUUCGAUGCAACGCGAAGAACCUUACCUACACUUGACAUACAGAGAACUUACCAGAGAUGGUUUGGUGCCUUCGGGAACUCUGAUACAGGUGCUGCAUGGCUGUCGUCAGCUCGUGUUGUGAGAUGUUGGGUUAAGUCCCGCAACGAGCGCAACCCCUAUCCUUAGUUGCUAGCAGGUAAUGCUGAGAACUCUAAGGAGACUGCCGGUGAUAAACCGGAGGAAGGUGGGGACGACGUCAAGUCAUCAUGGCCCUUACGUGUAGGGCUACACACGUGCUACAAUGGCGCAUACAGAGUGCUGCGAACUCGCGAAAGUAAGCCAAAUCACUUAAAGUGCGUCCUAAUCCGGAUUGGAGUCUGCAACUCAACUCCCUGGAAUCCGGAAUCCCUAGUAAUCGCGUAUCCAAAGGACCCCGUGGAAUACCUUCCCGGGGCCUGGAAACCCCGCCCCGCCACAACCAAGGAAAUGGGUUUGCCCCAA
rnacentral:rRNA from 1 species